ACCUGGGUGGCUCAGUUGGUUAAGCGUCUGACUUCAACUCAGGUCAUGAUCUCACAGUUUGUGGGAUCAAGCCCCACAUCGGGCU
rnacentral:tRNA from 1 species